CGAGUUUUGAAAGGAGUUGUAGCUGUCCUCAUGGGGCAUGUGCACGCUCUGCUUCAAUCCACUCUCUACACCUGUGCACUUACUGUGGGCUUUCCGGAGGGGAGGGUUUGCAAUCCGUUUGUAAAUCUUUUGGGAGGGCCUGCGUUUAUUCACAAACACUUAUAACAGUAAUGGAAUGUAUACUAUGAUGUAACACAUCUAUAAUA
rnacentral:misc_RNA from 1 species